rnacentral:rRNA from 1 species
GAUGAACGCUGGCGGCGUGCCUAAUACAUGCAAGUCGAGCGAACAGACGCGUAUCUUGCUCCUCUGACGUUAGCGGCGGACGUGUGAGUCACACGUGGAUAACCUACCUAUACGACUUGGAUCACUUCGGGAAACCGGAGCUAAUACCUGCUAAUAUUUUCAACCGCAUGGUUCCAUAGUGAAAGCCGGUUUUGCUGUCACUUAUAGUUUGAUCAGCGCCCCAUUCUCUAGUUGGUAAGGUAACGGUUUACGAAGGCCAAGAUGCGUAGCGGACCUGAGAGGGUGAACGGCCAGACGGGAACAGAGAAAGAGUCGAGAUUCCGACGGGAGGCAGCAGUAGGGAAUCUUACGCAAGGGGGGAAAGCGUGACGGAGCAAAGCGGGGUGAGUGAUGAAGGUGUGAGGAUCGGAAAACUAUGUUAUAAGGGAAUAAGAAAUGUGUAAGUAACAAGGAACGUAUUGACGGUACCUAAUCAGAAAGCCACGGCUAACUACGUG